rnacentral:lncRNA from 1 species
UUAGGUGACUCCUCUGGUUUUGGGGUCUCUUGCUUUGGUGGUUGAGGCUUAGGUGACUCCUCUGGUUUUGGUGUCUCUUGCUUUGGUGGUUGAGGCUUAGGUGACUCCUCUGGUUUUGGUGUCUCUUGCUUUGGUGGUUGAGGCUUAGGUGACUCCUCUGGUUUUGGAGGUUCCGGUUUAGGAGAUUCUUCUGGUUUUGGUGGCUCUUGCUUAGACGACUCUUGUUUUGGUGACUCAGGCUUAGGUUUUGGCUGUUCUGGUUUUGGUGCCUCUUGCUUAGGCGACUCUUGUUUUGGUGACUCAGGCUUAGGUUUUGGCUGUUCCGUUUUUGGAGAUUCCUGUUUUGGUGACUCUGGCUUAGGUUCCUUUGGGUUAGAAGGCUCAUGUGAUGGUGUCUCAGGCUUUGGA